CCUACGGGAGGCAGCAGUGAGGAAUAUUGGUCAAUGGCCGUAAGGCUGAACCAGCCAAGUCGCGUGAGGGAAGACUGCCCUAUGGGUUGUAAACCUCUUUUGUGCGGGGGUAAAGGUGUCCACGUGUGGAUGUUUGCAGGUACCGCAUGAAUAAGGACCGGCUCAUUCCGUUCCAGCAGCCGCGGUAAUCCGGGAGGUCCGGGCGUUAUCCGGAUUUAUUGGGUUUAAAGGGAGCGUAGGCCGGUCUGUAAGGGUGCCGUGAAAUUUUGUGGCUCAACCAUGGGAGUGCGGCGCGAACUGGAGACCUUGAGUGCGCGGAAGGCAGGCGGAAUUCGUGGUGUAGCGGUGAAAUGCUUAGAUAUCACGAAGAACCCCGAUUGCGAAGGCAGCCUGCCGCAGCGUGACUGACGCUGAAGCUCGAAAGCGUGGGGAUCGAACAGGAUUAGAUACCCGAGUAGUC
rnacentral:rRNA from 1 species